GGGGUCAUGACCUGAGGAACUGU
rnacentral:piRNA from 1 species